CCUAAAGAACCCAAGUACUAAAAACACAAAUUUGUCUUUAGAGCAAUUCAAUCAAGGAACAGCUUGUUUGAAUCAGGACACAACCUUAACCAUAGGAUAAUGGAGCCCAGAAUACAACUAAGUAGGCCUAAAAGCAGCCAUCUAUCAAAAGCGUUAAAGCUUACCUGUUUUCCAAAGAAUACCCCAUAUUUUACAGAAUCCCUCAACAGUACCGAGUACAUCUAUUUUAUAGAAAAUUUUAUGUUAAAACUAGUAACAAGAAGUUAUCCUUCUCCUCAAUGCAAGUAUACUCCAGUAAGGACCCCCCGCUGGAAAUUAACACCCCCCCCCAAGUAGUAACCUACAAGAAAAACCUCCUUAACAACCUGUUAACCUAACACAAGAGCAUUCCAGGAAAGAUUAAAAGAAAAAGAAGGAACUCGGCAAACUUCCGCCCCGCCUGUUUACCAAAAACAUCGCCUCUUGAAUUAUAUAAGAGGUCUAGCCNGNCCAGUGACUUGUUUAACGGCCGCGGUAUCCUAACCGUGCGAAGGUAGCGUAAUCACUUGUUCUUUNAAUAAGGACUAGUAUGAAAGGCAUCACGAGGGNCNAGCUGUCUCCYUUNUCU
rnacentral:rRNA from 1 species